rnacentral:rRNA from 1 species
UGGGGAAUCUUGCGCAAUGGGCGGAAGCCUGACGCAGCAACGCCGCGUGUGGGAAGACGGCUUUCGGGUUGUAAACCACUUUCAGGGGGGACGAAGCUUCCGAGGUUAAUAGCCUACGGGGUGACGGUACCCCCAGAAGAAGCCCCGGCUAACUACGUGCCAGCAGCCGCGGUAAUACGUAGGGGGCGAGCGUUGUCCGGAAUCAUUGGGCGUAAAGCGCGUGUAGGCGGCUUGAUAAGUCUGGUGUGAAAUCUUGGGGCUCAACCCCAAGCCUGCACUGGAUACUGCCAAGCUUGAGUCCGGGAGGGGAGAGCGGAAUUCCUAGUGUAGCGGUGAAAUGCGCAGAUAUUAGGAAGAACACCGGUGGCGAAGGCGGCUCUCCGGAACGGUACUGACGCUGAGACGCGAAAGCGUGGGGAGCGAACAGGAUUAGAUACCCUGGUAGUCCACGCCGUAAACGAUGGGCACUAGAUGUGGGCGGUGUCGACUCCGUCCGUGUCGAAGCUAACGCAUUAAGUGCCCCGCCUGGGGAGUACGGCCGCAAGGCUA